rnacentral:rRNA from 1 species
GACGAACGCUGGCGGCGUGCUUAACACAUGCAAGUCGAACGGCAAGGCCCUGCUUUUGUGGGGUGCUCGAGUGGCGAACGGGUGAUUAACACUUGAGUAACCUGCCCUUGACUUUGGGAUAACUUCAGGAAACUGGGGCUAAUACCGGAUAGGAGCUCCUGCUGCAUGGUGGGGGUUGGAAAGUUUCGGCGGUUAGGGAUGGACUCUCGGCUUAUCAGCUUGUUGGUGGGGUAGUGGCUUACCAAGGCUUUGACGGGUAGCCGGUCUGAGAGGAUGACCAGCGUCACUGGGACUGAGAGACGGCCCAGACUCCGACGGGAGGGAGCAGUGGGGACUAUUGGACAAGGGGGGCAACCCUGAGCCAGCCAUGCCGCGUGAGUGAUGAAGGCCUUAGGGUUGUAAAGCUCUUUUGCCCGGGAAGAUAAUGACGGUACCGGGAGAAUAAGCCCCGGCUAACUUCGUG